CAGUCGCCGCGGGAAUACGGAGGGUGCAAGCGUUAAUCGGAAUUACUGGGCGUAAAGCGCACGCAGGCGGUCUGUCAAGUCAGAUGUGAAAUCCCCGGGCUUAACCUGGGAACUGCAUUUGAAACUGGCAGGCUAGAGUCUUGUAGAGGGGGGUAGAAUUCCAGGUGUAGCGGUGAAAUGCGUAGAUAUCGGAAGGAACACCUGUGGCGAAAGCGGCUCACUGGACCAUAACUGACGCUGAUGCACGAAAGCUAGGGGAGCAAACAGGAUUAGAUCCCCAGUAGUCCCUGUCUCUUAUACA
rnacentral:rRNA from 1 species